rnacentral:tRNA from 1 species
CGGAGCGUAGCGCAGUUUGGUAGCGCAUCUGCUUUGGGAGCAGAGGGUCGUUGGUUCAAAUCCAAUCGCUCCGACCA